rnacentral:rRNA from 1 species
ACUGACAGCCAUGGUUACCGCGGCUGCUGGCACGGAGUUAGCCGGUGCUUCUUCUGUGAGUGAUGUCCUUCCUGCCGGCUAUUAACCCGCAGGCCUUCUUCCUCACUGAAAGUGCUUUACAACCCGAAGGCCUUCUUCACACACGCGGCAUGGCUGGAUCAGGGUUGCCCCCAUUGUCCAAUAUUCCCCACUGCUGCCUCCCGUAGGAGUCUGGGCCGUGUCUCAGUCCCAGUGUGGCUGAUCAUCCUCUCAGACCAGCUACGGAUCGUCGCCUUGGUGAGCCGUUACCUCACCAACCAGCUAAUCCGACAUAGGCUCAUCCGAUAGCGCGAGGCCCGAAGGUCCCCCGCUUUCCCCCGUAGGGCGUAUGCGGUAUUAGCCUGGGUUUCCCCAGGUUAUCCCCCACUACCGGGCAGAUUCCUAUGCAUUACUCACCCGUCCGCCGCUCGCCACCAGGGAGCAAGCUCCCCGUGCUGCCGCUCGACUUGCAUGUGUUAGGCCUGCCGCCAGCGUUCAAUC